GGAGAUUACUCCUCUUAGAGCCCUUCUGUGAGCCCAGGAUAUGGAAGAAUGCUCCACACAGGAAGUACACGGGAAAAGAAGCAAAUCCAACACGAAAAAGACACAUGCAAAUACAAGUGAAUUGGCUUAGAGAAAGAAUUGUUACCAAGGUCCACUGUUGGAAAUACAUCUGAAAGAGAUAACCUUGGAAGCUGGUCACCUGAACACAGUGAGAAAAAGGGUGUGAGAAAGGAAGGACCUGAUCAUCCAUCAGAUGGAAUCCAGACGUGACAAUUAGAGUUAAUGAACCAUGACCCAAGAAGCAGUUUCUGCACUUUACAAUCCUACUUCAUGGCCUCAGUAAAACUUACAGGGCUUUUUUUUUUCCCACAGAACACAUCUGCUCCAAAUUCUAAAGGGAGAAACUGGUUUCAGAAGUUACAUUUGGUUUCCUCCCUACUUUUCAGUCAUGUAUGAGGUAAAUGUAAGAACUUUGUUAACUAAAAAUCAGAAGAUACAGCUUCUACGAUGAGACUACAUAGUAUUAUUAUAGUAGCUAUUUAAUUUAUAUUAAAAUUAAUGAACUGAUAAAGAUGACUGGAAAACACCAAGCAAAUAUUUUCAAAACAACCAGCAUAAUGGCUUCUAUGUUUAAAUACUGGUUUUGGCCUCAGAUAGCUAAGAGAAUGCCUCAAAGGGGGAAAAAAAAAAAAGUUGAUUAAUACCUAAGUCUCCUAUCAUUUCUUCACAGAGCAGGUAUAGCUAAUGAAGCAGUGCCUCUUUUUCCCCAAAGUCCAGAAGAUCUACUGAACUUCUAAUCCUGAGGUGGAAUUGAUCUUUCUUUCCCUACGAGCAAAGUAUUCCUGCAGUCAGAGCCUCUCAAUAGUUUCUCAGAAUCACAAAAAUUCAUCCAUUUGGUCUUUUGCUACUAUUUGGAAUGAAGGAUUGAAAUAGGGCCAAACAACUCUUGGUGGUUUUCUUCCCAUACCAGACGCACCUUUUCUUGGCCUCCUCCAAAGAUGUGUUACCAAAACCAUAACAAUUCACUAUGAAAUCUGCUACCUAAAUUACAAUUGCUUUUUGGUUACAGUAGUGAAUUCUAAAAAAGCUUUUCCAGCAGCCCUGGUCAGAAAUCCACAAAGGAUACCUAGUGCAGAGCAGGAAGAUCUCAAGAGUUUGGAGAUAUUGUUUCACAGUCAGCUUACACUCCAGUUCCCUCUUCUCACUGAGUUAGGAAGUGAUUGGUUGCAUCCUGCUUCUGGAGAAGACAAAGGUAUUUCAGCCAUUGGUACUCCAAACUCAAAGAAGACCAUUAUUAAGAAAUGAAAGUCCAACUUGGUCUUGUACAUGGAAAUGUCUGCAGUACUUCCAAGACUUCUUCAAGAGUCAAUGGGUCUCAUAGGAAUGGCUCACAGAGCUUUUUUUCUUACUGACACUGUCCUCAUACAUUCCAAUUUUUACAGUUAGUAUGGCGUUCUCUUCAGUGAAACUUGAGCGCACACACUCAUGCUGUGUCAUGAGAAUUUUCUAGUCCUAUCACUGAAUUCCUUUCUUAUAGCUUAUAGUAAAAUCAUUUCCAAAGGAGGAGAGGAGAAGAGAACAUUGCUGUUUUCUGUUCUAAUAUGAGCAUGUGAAUAAAUUAAAUGAUAUUUAUAUCUUUAUAGAAGGAGCUUCACAAUUUUAAAAAAUAAAAAAAGAUGAUCAGAAGAAAUGGAAGGAAAAGGUGUGGUAAGAGUAAAAUAUCUGAUAAGAAAUUAUUUGACUGAAAAUGAAUAGUAGAGGAAUAUUACAAAAUCUAUCCAUAUCACAGUUAAUCGAUUAAAUAAUAAAACACAUCACUUUAUUCUAGCAAGUUUUUUCAAUGCAAAAAAAAAAAAAGCCUAUGGCUUGGUAAUAAAAGUAACUGUAAACUGUCUUGCCCAUCAUACAUACUAUUGUUAAGUAUAGUUUUAUUCCUUCACUAUAUUAACUUCCCAAGAGCUCAUUAAAUGUUACUGAUAUUGAAAGCACGGUCAAUCAGGUGAAAUAAAAUAAAAUGGAAAAAAAUUAAAAAUAUCAGUAGAUCAAGUGUUUGUUGUAAAUAUCUUCUGCCUUGCUUAAACAUUGAACUAAUUUUUAAGUAUGCAUGCAGAGAAGUUGUAUAAUGCAUAACCUGAUAAAUAAAACACACACAUUAGGCAAGUGACAUUGUAAAGAUCUAUUGUUUUAAUAAUUUCUUUCGAUCCAAUGAUACCUCAAUAAGGGAAGAACAUGUGACAAAAUAAGUAACUGUCUCUUCAGUUGUCAUUUCAAAAUAUUUUCUGGAAGUUUAUAGAAUAAUGGAAUCACUAAGGUUGGAAAAGACCUCCACAAUCAUCAAGUCCAACCAUCAACCCAUGCCCACUAAGC
ensembl:lncRNA